GGCUCAACCCCAGACCUGCAUUCGAUACGGGCGAACUAGAGUGUGGUAGGGGAGACUGGAAUUCCUGGUGUAGCGGUGGAAUGCGCAGAUAUCAGGAGGAACACCGAUGGCGAAGGCAGGUCUCUGGGCCAUUACUGACACUGAGGAGCGAAAGCGUGGGGAGCGAACAGGAUUAGAUACCCUGGUAGUCCACGCCGUAAACGGUGGGCACUAGUUGUGGGAACCUUCCACGGUUUCUGCGACGCAGCUAACGCAUUAAGUGCCCCGCCUGGGGAGUACGAUCGCAAGAUUAAAACUCAAAGGAAUUGACGGGGCCCCGCACAAGCAGCGGAGCAUGCGGCUUAAUUCGACGCAACGCGAAGAACCUUACCAAGGCUUGACAUAUACAGGAAUAUGGCAGAAAUUCCAUAGCCGCAAGGUCUGUAUACAGGUGGUGCAUGGUUGUCGUCAGCUCGUGUCGUGAGAUGUUGGGUUAAGUCCCGCAAACGAGCGCAACCCUCGUUCUGUGUUGCCAGCAUUUAGUUGGGGACUCACAGGAGACUGCCGGGGUUAACUCGGAGGAAGGUGGGGAUGACGUCAAAUCAUCAUGCCCCUUAUGUCUUGGGCUGCACGCAUGCUACAAUGGCUGGUACAAACGGCUGCGAUACCGCAAGGUGGAGCGA
rnacentral:rRNA from 1 species